GGCGAGCGUUGUCCGGAUUCAUUGGGCGUAAAGCGCUCGUAGGCGGCUUGGCAAGUCGGGUGUGAAACCUCCAGGCUCAACCUGGAGACGCCACCCGGGACUGCUAUGGCUAGAGUCCGGUAGGGGAUCACGGAAUUCCUGGUGUAGCGGUGAAAUGCGCAGAUAUCAGGAGGAACACCGGUGGCGAAGGCGGCACGCUGGGCCGGUACUGACGCUGAGGAGCGAAAGCGUGGGGAGCGAACAGG
rnacentral:rRNA from 1 species